rnacentral:tRNA from 1 species
CGACAAAAAGUAUAAUUGUAUUUAUAGUUUCGGCCUAUAAGGGGGGCUUCAAACGGUCCUUUGUCGU